rnacentral:lncRNA from 1 species
GUUUCCUGAACUUUUUUUUUCUCUUUUACGUUAUUUCUUUCUCUUUUUUUUCUUUUCUUUCUUUCAUUUUCCCUUCUUUUCUUUUUUGUUUUCUCAAUCAUUGAAGUUUGCCGUUAAAUUUUUGCUGCUGUAUGUUUGGGGAAGUGCACAUUUCAUUAUUGUCGACUGAAAGGUUAAUUGUGUGAGUUUUAUUAUAGAAUUUAUGUUGAAUGUUUGCUUUUGUCUAUUUCUUUCGAAGUUGGUUUCUAUUUGAUUUACUUGAAUUCUCUGUUAAAC